GUAUAUAUAGUUCAGUGGUAGAGUAUGUGCUUAGCACGCAUGAGGUCCUGGGUUCAAUCCCCAGUACAUCCA
rnacentral:tRNA from 1 species